UACGAAGGGGGCUAGCGUUGUUCGGAAUUACUGGGCGUAGAGCGCGUGUAGGCUGGCCGUUAAGUCGGGGGUGAAAGCCCAGAGCUCAACUCUGGAAUUGCCUUCGAUACUGGCGGCCUGGAGCAUGAUAGAGGCGAGUGGAAUUGCGAGUGUAGAGGUGAAAUUUGUAGAUAUUCGCAGGAACACCAGUGGCUAAGGCGACUCGCUGGAUCAUUGCUGACGCUGCGACGCCAAAGCGUGGGGAGCAAACAGG
rnacentral:rRNA from 1 species